UAAUAGAAAUAAUAAACAAUUCUCUAGUGACAAACAGUAAAAUCAGACAUACACCAUCCUCUUCAACUCCAAGCGGAUAACAUCUUAUUUUAGUCUAUAGAGUUUAUCUGCUUUUAGAUUCACACCUUCUUACAAUAAUAAAAGGUAUUUUGAUGAAAGGGUUCAUCUACAUGAGGCCCCCAAAGCCUUAAGAUCUUGUCUUGUGUAAUUUGAGUCUGGGUUUUUUAACUUCAAUUUGUGAAUUCAGUUUGGACUUGAAUUUUGAGGUACAUACUCCAUCUUCUGGCUCCUUGGAGUACUGUUGUUAAGUGCUUAAAUCUCUACUGUAUUUUCACAGCUACCAAGCCUUGGUCUCUGCCAUUUAAAUGGAAGAAAUUAACUUGACCUUUAUCUCUAAUAAUUGAGCUGGUGGCUUCCUCCCCGCAAAGAUAGUGAAUAACUGGGAAGCCAGUGAAUGCACACACGGACAUUCACUAUUCACUUCUUCAGUGAACGCUCUUUAUCUUCUACAUUAGAGGCCGCAGGCUCAGUGCUGUAGGAAGUGCAGAGAUGGACAAGCCGCGGCCACUGACCCUACAGGC
rnacentral:lncRNA from 1 species